rnacentral:rRNA from 1 species
AUUGAACGCUGGCGGCAGGCCUAACACAUGCAAGUCGAAUGGUAACAGGAAACAGCUUGCUGUUUCGCUGACGAGUGGCGGACGGGUGAGUAAUGUCUGGGAAACUGCCUGAUGGAGGGGGAUAACUACUGGAAACGGUAGCUAACACCGCAUAACGUAGCAAGACCAAAGAGGGGGACCUUCGGGCCUCUUGCCAUCAGAUGUGCCCAGAUGGGAUUAGCUAGUAGGUGGGGUAACGGCGCACCUAGGCGACGAUCCCUAGCUGGUCUGAGAGGAUGACCAGCCACACUGGAACUGAGACACGGUCCAGACUCCUACGGGAGGCAGCAGUGGGGAAUAUUGCACAAUGGGCGCAAGCCUGAUGCAGCCAUGCCGCGUGUAUGAAGAAGGCCUUCGGGUUGUAAAGUACUUUCGGCGGGGAGGAAGGGAGUAAAGUUAAUACCUUUGCUCAUUGACGUUACCCGCAGAAGAAGCACCGGCUAACUCCGUG